CCGCUCGUAGCUCAGUUGGUAGAGCAGCUCCCUUUUAAGGAGACGGUCGCAGGUUCGAUCCCUGCCGAGCGGA
rnacentral:tRNA from 1 species